rnacentral:ncRNA from 1 species
UUGAGCCGGAUGCAUUGAAAGGUGCAAGUCCGGUUCUUAGAAGAGGAAGGGGGAGAAAUCCCCCUGACUUAUUCGAC